ensembl:lncRNA
UUGCAGUCUCUCCUCAUCCAAGUCUCACAGUCUUGUUCUUGCAAAACAUCUGCAACAAUGGCACAAUUUGGCCAUCUGGUGGCAGUGUUGAGCCUAUGCCUGCUGGCUGCUGUGGUGAACGCUCAACAGAACACCUCCCCACCUCCUCCUCGUCUGGGACGAGAGAUCUGCACACACUACACUCAGGGUGGGACCCUCCUUCUGGAUGGGCCAAAGGUCUUUGAAAUGAUGCUGAUUGAGUUUGGACGGGCAAUCCAGACCCUGAACCCUAUGGUGACUCAACAGUGGAUGGAUGAUGUAGAUGAAGAUCACGACAAACACCUCAACAUGGCGGAGUGUGUCAAACUCGUCCAGAGAGUCUCUGAUUCCGUUCAGAGGC